CCUCUCACACCCUCAGGACUCCCUCCCCCCCACCAUUUCCCAGGGAAUUUCCAGCAGCAGUGUUUAAGCUCAGCCUUUAAAAUCUCUGGUGGCAGAGCCUGACACAGUGCGCAGACCUUCAGCCCUGUGCAGGCUGCCCAGCAUCCCUGACUCGCUGUGCCCAUGAGGGUCUCUGCCCCAGACGGUCCCAGCAAAAAGCAGCUUCAGGGCUGAAUUCAGUAGGGUUUCACAUCUUUUUCUUUUGCGGAGGUGAUACUACAUUGCCAGCUACGCUUUUUUACCAUAUGCAACACCAACACACUGGCAGUUAACAAGCUACAACACAGAACCACUUGGCAACACAGAGAAAAUGGGCAGAAAAUCCCCAAGCAAGAGGGAAGGGGGAAAAAAAUGAAAUGAAUUGACAGCAUUAAACAUGCAAGAGAGAACUGUAAAGGAGAGGCUGCCAGGGAGCAAAGGUGCUCUCCCAGGCUUGUGCACAGCACCAAGUGCAGAACCUCAGCAGGGGAAGCAGCCGCUGCUUAACCCUCAGAGCUGAAGCACCUGAAUACUUCCUGGAGAGCAACAGAGGUGAGAAACCAAACCCAUCCUAGUGUCAGUUCCCCUCUCGAAGUCAGCUGAUGUGGUAGCCUGCCAUAGCUGGGGAUCCAGGAACACACGUGAUGCCACCCAGCCCCACAGGACCUCUGAAUUCACUGUCCCAUACGUUAGAGUACAAGCAAUACUUAUUUGUAAAAAUUGUGGUGUGACUGUACCAAAAGCAUCUGUGCUGGGCAGCAGUGCCCGGGAAGGCAGGGGCUCAGGCAGUCUGGCUCCACGUUGGGCCAAUGAAGAUGAGCUCAGGCAGCAGUGGAUUCAAGGUGGGGGAAUGGAGUUUUGCUCCUGCUGCAGGAAUGAAGUUUGGAGCUGUCUUCACUUGUAACACCACAUAAUUCUAGGUGGCUGCAGAUUUAUUACUGUAUUUUCCCAAAUUUGGAAGGCUUCCACUUUUGACCACAUAAAAGAAACAUUUUCCUUUUCUCAGUAUGACCUCCAUUUUCUAUUCUGAGACAAAAUCCAUUAUAGCAAUGCCUGGAAAAGCUACACAUCUAAUCAUUUUCCCUGAGAAUUCCUCAGAAUUUUGAGAUGGGUUUAGGUUGGCCAGAGCUUUUCCACCCCCCAGCAAGAAAAACUGCUUGUGAGAUUCUCCAUUUUUAAAAGAUAAUGAUGGCUGUGUUCACUGCAGGAUUUUUCCUGUUACCAGUUUGAUUUGCAGUCGCAGCUGAAGGCCUAUGCCAUGAAUUAUUUGCCAAUUAAGCAGUGCUUGCGUGGAGGCUGUGUAUUUUACACCUUGACAGCUAUUACAGGCAGAAGGUAACAGGAGCUUUGACUUAAACGCAAAUUAUCAAACACUGAACAGUCUGAAGCAGAGACCCAAGCUGACUUGGACAGAAGACACAACAGAGAUAAAUUUGCUGCUGACGUUUUAUCUUGGGUGGGAGUAACAAAGGUAAAGACAAAAUCAAGAUGUCCAUAUCUUCCUUGCUCUUUAACAGCAGACUUUUUAAUCCUUCCUGAAGACAUCCAGAAAAAUUAUUUAUGUCGUGGAACAAGUAUUGGAAGAGAUAGCUGCCCUCUGUUACAACUAAUAUGAUUAAUAUCCUUGCAUAAUCUUUUUUCUUAGGGAGAAGAGAGAGUGAUCUCACUACUCCAAUCACAUUGCAUUAUUAUAUACCUUGGGAACAGAAAAGCAGCUGUUUCUAUCAAUUAUGGCAAAAUUUACUCAGAGCCCCAAUAAAGGGUCACUGCAGACAUCCCAGCAGAACAGAAGACAGCUACAUUUAUGUUCCAGAAAGACACCUCUGAGUUGUCAUUGUAUGGCAACAUCCCCAGAAGCUAAGCCAAUCAGAAGAAUAAACCAACCAAAACAACAACAGAACAACAGCAACAAAGAACUUUUCAGAAGUUCCCUGACCCCAAAUUGUUUAUAGGCUAAGCAUUUCUACUCCAACAGCUUCAACAGAAGAUCUGCUGCCCAAAUAUUUGCUGGAUCUCACUCCACUCUUUUGCCAGUAGACAGAAAGGAAGGACCCAAGAGGUUCUUCACAUUCUGCACAGUGCCAGGGAUGCAAAACAGCUUCAAAGAUCUAUAGAUAGGAUGUAGAUACAACCCUGUCUAAAAAAGUCACCACCCUAACAAAUUAGUAACUUGCCCAACUGGAAAAAGUUAAGCUACCUUUUUUACAGCACCUGAUUUGUCAAAUUAAAAGAUACCAUUAACAAUUAAAAAAAAAAAAAAAAACCAAAAAA